rnacentral:rRNA from 1 species
ACGUAGGCGGCAAGCGUUGUCCGGAAUUAUUGGGCGUAAAGGGAGCGCAGGCGGGAAACUAAGCGGAUCUUAAAAGUGCGGGGCUCAACCCCGUGAUGGGGUCCGAACUGGUUUUCUUGAGUGCAGGAGAGGAAAGCGGAAUUCCCAGUGUAGCGGUGAAAUGCGUAGAUAUUGGGACGAACACCAGUGGCGAAGGCGGCUUUCUCGACUGCAACUGACGCUGAGGCUCGAAAGCUAGGGUAGCGAACGG